rnacentral:rRNA from 1 species
ACUCGCCGGUGCGCGAGAGGGUGAUGGCCAAGCACGGCCCGCGGCCCGGGUGGCAGAGCUUCGACGCAUUCGCCAACCAUAAAGGGUCGUCCAAGGAAGGAGAGGACAAGGGUGGCGGCAGCGGCAGCGACAG